GGCUCCGAAAAUAGCAUUGUCCCAUGGAUAUGAAAUUAUCAACUGGGAAGAGACCUUCAACAACUUUGGAGAUAAAUUGAGCCGGAAAACUGUGGUGCACAACUGGCUUGGGGGUGGUGUUGCAGAGCGAGUGGUUGCAGCUGGAUUGAGGUGCAUUGUAAGCAACCAAGAUAAGUGGUAUUUGGAUCAUUUGGAUACCACAUGGCCAGAAGUCUAUAUGAAUGAACCACUCACCGCUCACAAAUAUCACAAACCCCAAACAACAAGAAUUGGUUAUUGGAGGUGAGGUAUGCAUGUGGGGUGAAUAUAUUGACGGAUCUGAUAUUGAACAAACAAGAUGGCCACGUGCUGCAGCAGCUGCUGAUGAAGAGAGGCUCUGGUCACCUUAUGGCAACCUUGCAAAGGAUCCUCGACAAAUCACUGGAACACUUUAGGUGUUUGCUGAAUCAGAGAGGAGUUGUUGCUGCUCCAUUGGCUGGACCUAGUCGAGUUGCCUCACAAGACCCAGGUUCCUGUUAUAUGCAAUAAAGCUGAAGAUUAUCUCAACUGCAUCAGAUUAUGCUGUUGUAUUCAACCAUGUCCAAUCUGCACCAAAUAAUAUCCACAAAAAUAACGAGUCUCCUGAUAAAGUCAGGCAGCUCUCUAUCUCUGGUGUUCUAGGCUUUUUGAGCCAUGUAAUCUUUCUUUGUUUUUCCUUUUUGAGUGAUGUCUGUUUGCAAUGCAUUUGUUCUAUUUUGCACUAAAGAUGAGGAAAGGCUGAUUAAUUUAUACGCCCUCAAUUUAUCAUGCAGUACUCAAAGAUCAUUGUAUC